CUCAAGGCGACGCGAGGCGUGCGCCUCGAUUUGGCCUAAAAAAAACCUAAAUAGCAGAUACGGAUCGACUUACCGAAGACGCGAAGACUGCUCCUCUCUCCUUUCUCCUCUUCGACCGCGACUGCUACUCUCUCCUUGCUCCAGGUAUCUUCCUUCUCCUCUUUCUUCUUCUUCUACUUCUUCUACUUCUUCUCCUUCUGACUGUCACCGACUCAUCGCGACUGCUCCUUUCUCUAUUUUCUUUUUCGUUUUUGUUACCACGACUGCUUCUUGCGUUUCGUUUCUGUCACCGCGACUUCUUCUCCUUUUUCUUUGCUUCGUUUUGUUUCUCUGUUUUUCGUUUCGUUUCUUCUUCUUGCUUCUUUCUCUGUUUUCUUCUUGCGUCUCCUUUGUCUGCGUCUCUGUUUUUUUUAUAUGUAGUCUCUGUUUUUUUUUUCUUUCUGAUUUCUUCUGUUUUGUUUUUUUUUUCUGUUUUGUUUUGUUUUCUGCAUUAUUUUUAUUGUGUUAUGUUUUUAUUGUGAUUUUACCAAUAGUGUUUGUAGAGAAUUUUGAACAAAAUAUGCAUCUAAUAUUUCUCAAUUUAUAAUAUUUGAUUGUGUUUAUGUUUCAUUCGAACUUGCAUCUGAUCAGAAAAUCUAUAUAUUUAUGUGUAUUGGCUUGUAUGUAUGUCAAUGUAUACAUUAUAUGUGUUUAUAUGUAUAUGUUCUCGUUCAUUUCAUCCUGAUCGUGUUUUACAUGCUUUGACUUAAGCUCCACUAAUUUCAGUUGUAUAUAUGGCUGUAUGUGUAUCUGUACUUUCCAUCAGAAAUUACUUUAGCUCCACUAAUUUCAUUUUGAGUUUUUGAAAGUGCAAUUGGUAUUCCAUUAAUUAGUUAGGCAAGUUUAUAAAUUUGUGGUCUUGAUCUUAGACUCUUGGUCAUCAUGUUAAUGCUGUUAGUGUCUUGGUGAUGCCCUGUGAACCGAUUCCACUGUCUUUCAGUCCCUGAAUCACAAUCAAACAUAAAUUUAUAUUCAGUUUUUGAACAAUGUUAAAUUCUAUCAAUGUUAACAUGAGUACAUGACUAGUGUUGUCCAUAAUUUUGUUAUCAAAAUGUAAUAACAAUUUUUUAUUAUUAUUACAGUGAAUUAUUAUUAUGGGUAAAAAAGAUCCAGCUUGGAAAUAUGGCACUGCAGCUCCGGGAGUUAAUAAAGCUCAUUUAUACGUGGAAUGCAAUUUUUGUAAGAAAAUUUGCAAAGGAGGGAUUACAAGGUUGAAAAAUCAUCUUGUGGGAAAUCACA
rnacentral:lncRNA from 1 species